rnacentral:miRNA from 1 species
UAGUGUUGCUCAGGCAGCAGGA